CCCUUAGGCCUUAGCUUUACAAAUCUUCCAAGGAACUUGGCGGUAAUCCUCAAAAUGGACCCCAAGAUUCAAAACUGGUCCCACACAUGAAUCAAUUACCAAAAUCCAAAUGAAUCAGGACCACCAACUGUCAAUCAGAUGAGUCAGCCCACAUCUCAUGUUCAUUUUCCACCGCUGACGUAUGCCUAAUCAUCCAAUAUUCGGUCCAUACGUGCCUUAAACCAACAGAUGGGUGACAUUAUCU
rnacentral:lncRNA from 1 species